GACCCCAGCUCAAAUCCUUGGCCUGCAGCGUGCAACCAUGACUAGGGCAGCUUGUGACUCCUCUUGGCCGUGGAGCUCAGAGCCCUUGAUGGUGAAAUGUGAGGACGGAGCCCCAGAGGUAACCUCACCUUGUGUGGUGACCGCGACCAACAUGUGGCCAAAGCUGCUGGAGCACCUUCAUGUCAUGCAUCCACUGAGGAGCUGCAUCGUGGUGCAGUGCCUUGGCGUGGUGAAGGACAGUAUCGAGAGCUGUUGGCCACCAGGAUGGGGAGAAAGAAAAGAUUCCCAUCUUCCCCAAAUGGAGCAUGUUGCAACUGCCUGUGGAGCUGGCUUACAAAGUGAUGGGGGAGUACUUACAUUACCAAACACUGUGAUGACAAACAUCUUGGGAUCUUACAGGGCAGUAUUGUUAAGUAAAGCGGCGUAACGCUCGACAUGUGAAGGUGAGCGAGUGACGUUCAAGCAGGAGGACUGGGUAGGGCUCUGAGGAGUAUCCAAAGAAUCUAAAAUAAAAGGAUUUGAAGAAAAAUGUCAGAGGUGAAGAUCUGAAGACUGUGAGGUGCUAAUAAUUGACAACUGACAUGGCUUGCAAAGCAAAAAGACUAUCAACACACUUAGAAAUCUCUUUGUCUUGUCUAACUAAAUGUAAUUAGCACUAAACUCCAAACACAAACUAGGAUGGAAAUGUGCUUAUGCCAUACGUAUGAACAGGAUAAUCUUGUGUCUGAGUUCCACCAUGAGAUUUUUUUCUAAUUCAGCCCAUUAGUCAGGUUUUCUGAUUGCUUUUUAAAAUUAUUGUUCAACUACAUUGUGAUGUUGUCCCAAAUGAGUACAGCCAAGAAACACAUUUCAUCCUGAAGUGUUUGACAGUCCUCAAACAGAAACAACUGACUGCUGACAAACCAGAAGGUUUUCUCUAAUUUCAGAUGAAACUCCAGGGUCUGUAUUUUUUUCUCCCUGCAGUGUUUAUUAAACAGACAUUGGUUUGGGUGUGAAAGCAGCAGGUUUGGUAAGUAUUUCUAUCACUGGAGGUGGUGCUGCAGGGUAUAGCUUUGGUUUGGAGUCUGUUUUGUGUAUGUUCUGGAAUAUUGCAAAGCAUGUUGUGAUAGCGGAUUAACUAUAAACAGUCAUUUGGCAGCAUAUCUUGGUCGUCAGAGACCUGAUGCAAAUGUGCAUUCCCACCUUUGGUUCUCGUCCCAUGCCCUUCUCACCCUCUUCAUGCACUGGGGGAGUUUCCAUCAAAGGUUAAGGAUUAUGUGAUCUGAGCAAAACUGCUGGUCAUUUCUUAGCUCUGUGUUGCAAGACAGAGGUGGCUAUGGCCUGGCUUCUUGGGGAGGACAGUCAUGGUACAAGGGAUUUGCACCCCCUGCAAGCUUGACUUGGAUGCAUUGUUAUUUCUUAGCCAAAGCUGGAAGGGAACACAGCAUUUGGGAGAAUGGUCUCAUUUUCCUUCCUUCAAAAAAAGAGUCAAGGGGCACAUCAGAUUUCACUGAUGGCAUUGACUGCAUUUGCACUGACCACAGUGGGAAUUUGGAUACUUCUGUACGUUCCCAUGUUCUGAUCUGUGAGUUCAACCUCACUUCUCCAAACAGGGUCAAUUUUAAAGCAAGUGUCAUGGUUUGGAAACUGGAAGUGUGUGCCAAGUAUUUUAGAAAGUUCAGGACAAAAUGAGAAUAUGUCUCUUCACCUCAAGCAAUUCAACAUGCUUUAUUUCAAUGAAGAAAUUACAGAUUUGAAAAAAAAAAGUGCUUCAGUGAUUUACAGAGCCCAUGCUUCAUGGCUGUUUCUAACUUCAGUAGAGAUUAGAUGAGGUUGGCAGUUUCUUUUCUACUUUUUCACAGAUGCUUUAUUUCUUCAUUUUGGAGUUUAAUUAUCUAAGCGUGCAUAAAAAUAGAGGGGAGAAGAGUAUCUCAUAUCAACUAUGGAUGUCUGCAGCUGCUCUGGAUCACACUGCUUCAAGGCUUUAUACCACUCCUAAAAUACGAUACUGACAAAAAAAAAAACUAUUACUGCAUCACCACAGCUAACUCAAAAUUUACAGAUUAGAGCUAGUAAUCUUCAAUGGACCUCCUCCAUCCUUCUAAGUUUGAUAAGAAAUAUUUAUUUCAAGAAACUGAAAGGACUGAAUUUUGUGUCACAUUUUCCUACCCACAAAUAUUUCUUUUUCUGGGGGAUAAAAUUGAAUAUUUUGCAUCCUUUCUGAAGAUGAGAACAAGUGAAAACAGUCGGUCCUGUCUGUCUCUGUCUUUUGCAAUGAUUAAGUUUUUGGGUAUGGAUACUGCUGAGAGGUUUCACUCAAUUAUGCUUGAAAAAAAAUCUGCAUUUAUGGACUCAGGACCUUUGUCAAGCAAACCUGAAAUUCCAUUAAAAGGAUAGAAACUUUUAGAAGCUCUGUUUUCCAUAAAUUCCUAAAAAACA